rnacentral:lncRNA from 1 species
GGCCUCUCACUGUGGAUUCAUUGGUGACAAAACAGAGGAAUGGGGUCCAAGUGUUGAGUACGCCUACUUCAGGAGAUGGGACUGGACUCUGCCGAUCUGAGAUGACCCCUCCCAACACUGUUCUAUCCCUGUCCAGACCCCUGGGUUCUGGCACUAAUAGGCUCAUCCAGGAUCUACAGCAUUCAGAUGGUCAUAGACGGCUCCACCUCUUCCUCUUCACUUCUUCAAGGACGACCCUGCCCAGUACUGGAAUUACAGGUCUGUGCCACAAAGCCAGCCCACAGCACCCUGCUCUACAGUGAACCUUCUUUGUUUUUCAGACUCUGACACCGACUGGCUGUGUGAUCCUGGACAGACUGCAUCACCUCAUGGACAUUUUUUCAUCUGUGAGGGGAAGAUUUCCUGGCAGUGGUCUGAGAAAUGGUGGCAAGGACUGAAGGAGUUACAUGCAUGGAGAGUACUGUACCACCAGUUGGGCAGAGAUGGAAUUGCACUUCUUUUUGCUCUGUCUUUUCAUCAUCUUAGAAGUGGGUGGAGCCUCCUCUUCAUAAUUCCUACAGGGUUUAAUACUGAGGAGAAACUUUGUAAAGUAAAGGAUUUUUAGGGUUGGGGCGGUGGCACAGUAGGUAAAGCGCUCGCUGUGUCAGCCUGAGGACCCGGGCUGGUACUUACAACAAAGCAUGGUAUGAUCAUCAAUAAUGCCAGCACAGUUGCAUAACGACGGGCACAUCCCCGGGGAAUCAGCUGCCAGCCAAUCUCAUGCUAGGUUCAGUGAGCAAUUUCUCCCCAAAAAUAAGCUGGAGAAGGACAGAGGAUGACGCUGAACUUUGACCUCUGGCCUCCACACACAUGCAUGAGUGAGUGCACCCACAUCAACACACACACACACAUGUGAAAAACAAAUCUUUUAAAAUAAUAAUAUGGGUCCCUAAGUACUGGAAUUGAGAACAGUGCC